ensembl:lncRNA
GGCCGAGGCGCGGGGCGGAGCCUGAGACUUUGUAAACAACUCCCACGCUGCUUUUAAGCGCGUCGGCUGUAUUUACUACGGGAGGGCGCGACGGUGCUGCUGCCAAACAGUUCAGUCGGAGUUCAGCUGAAAUCCCAAAGUCAUCUCGAUGACUCCUCGCAUCGGGAACAUAUUUGUUUGCUUCACGUCUCGCUGCUCUCGCCGCUCCCCCAGUGUCCCGUGUUCGACGUGACACGCUGACGUCAUCGGUUCCUGUCGGGCUUUUCCCGAAAACACGAAGGCGUAUGUCGGCGCUGGGAGGCCAGCUGCUGUGUUUUGGUGGUUUUUGAUUUGCUUUAAAUGCGCCAUGCAGCUGCGCUGAGAGGAUGCUGCUGUAGUCGUCUUUGGCUCGGCGCUGUUCAUGCUGCAGGAAAGCAGAAUAGAGAGGAAUGCGUGUGAGCGGCACUGUAUUUAUUCUUGCCCAAACCAUCUUUUACAGGAGUUGCAACGUGGUCGACACGUUUCAGAGACGCUCAUUGUGGGGGGGGGAUUUAUCUGUCCUCCAAAAAUCUGUGUCUGAAGAAUGUAACUCUGCAGCCAAGCCAAACUAAAACUGUGAGUUUUUUCCCACUGACUCCCCACCGUCACUGUUAGACUUUGGGAAAUGUGCGCGGAGCCCGUUGGUCAACAAAGAAAAAGCCUUGGAGUAGAACUCGGACACAAGGUUGGAAAUGAAAAAGGUUUUUCUUUUUAGCAGAGGCCUCCUGGCAUGUUUUCAAGUGCAGCAGCAGCAGGAGGAGGAGUACGAGGAGGAGGUGGAGGAAGAAAAGGAGGAGGAGGCAGAGCAUGUGUCCGACUGUAUGUCCGGAUGUGUCUACUAUAGAGUUGGACCAGGAUCAACUCUGAGAUUCGCAGCUGUUGGGCAGGAACGGCGUCCCGGCCUGGCAAAGCUGAUUAUGCCAGCGUAAAUACUGCAGGAACGCAAGCGACACAGUUUACACGUUAAAUCAGCCGCUUUAUUUUUUUUUAACGAUUUUAUAUAAUAAUGAUAAUUUGCUUUAUUAAAGGUAUGAUAUACAGGUGAGUAAUAUCUGAGCUCUCCUUAACAACAAUAAUAAUAAUAAUAAUAAUACAUUUAAUUUAUUUAGCGCUUUUCCAAAUGCUUAAAGUCACUUUAAUAAAACAUUAUAUAAUAUGCUAAAAGCUGAGCUGUAAAUAAAUAAAACCAAGCAAAUAGCGAACACACACAGGACACGCAGUCAUCCAUUAAAAGCGGUUCUGAAGAGUCUUGAUUUGUGUUUUGAAUGUGGAGGGGUCAGUGCAGUCUUGGGGAGAGCGUUCCAGAGGGAAAGGGGGUGGGGCGGCAGUAUUUGUUACUGCACUGUCAUCAACGCAGGGCAGAAGGGUUCGUUGAUUUAAUCGGUAGAUCCCGGUUGGGUGCUCAAGGUCCCAGUGACGGAUCUUUGCAUGCGAGCCCUACCGGCGCAAUUGUGACUUUUGAAUUAUCGGAUGAGGAAGCUGCAUUGGACGGAUUUUCAUCAUUCUGCUUUCGGUUGUCAGUGUCAGAGUGUGAUAACGUGGCCGUGGCGUCCGUCCGGGCCGCAGUUCAUAUAUGACAGAACGCUGACCUCUAGUGGUCAGGAAAGGUUGUGCAAGUACAAUAUGAAUCAAAAAACAUAGAUUACAGGUCAUUUUACAGGUCAUUUUACAGAUAUUAGUUUUCAAGUUAUUCUGAACGUGAGUUCAUCAUAUUGUAUAGCAGAAAGCUCUGGAUGAAGCGCUGAAAAUUCACAACAAAAUGACAAACUUAUUUAAUGAUUUAUUUAGAGUGCAGUGCUAGAAGAUACUGCCGUUG